rnacentral:tRNA from 1 species
UCAUUGGUGGUUCAAUGGUAGAAUUCCUGCCUUCUAUGCAGGAGACCUGGGUUUGAUUUCCGGCCAGUGCA